rnacentral:rRNA from 1 species
GAUGAACGCUAGCUACAGGCUUAACACAUGCAAGUCGAGGGACCGGCGCAUGGGUGAGUAACACGUAUCCAACCUGCCCUUUACUCGGGGAUAGCCUUUCGAAAGAAAGAUUAAUACCCGAUAGAAAGGAUGGGGAUGCGGUCAUUUGGGUUGUUGGUGGGGUAACGGCCCACCAAGCUUUCGAGGGAUAGGGGUUCUGAGAGGAAGGUCCCCCACAUGGGAACUGAGACACGGUCCAAACUCCUACGGGAGGCAGCAGUGAGGAAUAUUUGUCAAUGGGCGGUAGCCUGAACCAGCCAAGUAGCGUGAAGGAUGAAGGCUUAUGGGUCGUAAACUUCUUUUAUAUAAGAAUAUGUAUUAUAUGAAUAAGGAUCGGCUAACUCCGUGCCAGCCGCCGCGGUAAUUC